UACGUAGGGUGCAAGCGUUAUCCGGAAUUAUUGGGCGUAAAGAGCUCGUAGGCGGUUUGUCGCGUCUGCUGUGAAAACUGGAGGCUCAACCUCGAACUUGCGGUGGGUACGGGCAGACUAGAGUGUGGUAGGGGGAGACUGGAAUUCCUGGUGUAGCGGUGAAAUGCGCAGAUAUCAGGAGGAACACCGAUGGCGAAGGCAGGUCUCUGGGCCACUACUGACGCUGAGAAGCGAAAGCAUGGGGAGCGAACAGG
rnacentral:rRNA from 1 species